CAAAAAGGGGAAUCCGGUUUGAUUCCGGAGCUGUGCCGCAACUGUAAAGCCAGAGGACCGUGUCUUAGAGGAAACUCCCGU
rnacentral:ncRNA from 2 species